UACACACCGCCCGUCACAUCACGAAAGUUGGUUGUACCGGAAGCCGGUGCGCUAACCCUUCGGGGAAGCAGCCGUCCAUGGUAUGUUCAGCGAUUGGGGUGAAGUCGUAACAAGGUACCC
rnacentral:rRNA from 1 species